rnacentral:rRNA from 1 species
UACGAAGGGGGCUAGCGUUGCUCGGAAUCACUGGGCGUAAAGGGCGCGUAGGCGGCGUUUUAAGUCGGGUGUGAAAUCCCCAGGCUCAACCUGGGAACUGCAUUCGAGACUGCAUAGCUAGAGUAUGGGAGAGGGAAGUGGAAUUUCAGGUGUAGCGGUGAAAUGCGUAGAUAUCUGAAGGAACAUCAGUGGCGAAAGCGACUUCCUGGACCAAUACUGACGCUCAUGUGCGAAAGCGUGGGGAGCAAACAGG